rnacentral:rRNA from 1 species
AGUGAACGCUGGCGGUAGGCCUAACACAUGCAAGUCGAACGGCAGCACAGUAAGAGCUUGCUCUUACGGGUGGCGAGUGGCGGACGGGUGAGGAAUACAUCGGAAUCUACUUUUUCGUGGGGGAUAACGUAGGGAAACUUACGCUAAUACCGCAUACGACCUACGGGUGAAAGCAGGGGAUCUUCGGACCUUGCGCGAUUGAAUUAGCCGAUUUCGGAUUAGCUAGUUGGCGGGGUAAAGGCCCACCAAGGCGACGAUCCGUAGCUGGUCUGAGAGGAUGAUCAGCCACACUGGAACUGAGACACGGUCCAGACUCCUACGGGAGGCAGCAGUGGGGAAUAUUGGACAAUGGGCGCAAGCCUGAUCCAGCCAUACCGCGUGGGUGAAGAAGGCCUUCGGGUUGUAAAGCCCUUUUGUUGGGAAAGAAAAGCAGCAGGUUAAUACCCCGCUGUUCUGACGGUACCCAAAGAAUAAGCACCGGCUAACUUCGUG